rnacentral:lncRNA from 1 species
UUACUUCUAGGAUUCCUCAGGAGUUCUGACCAGGAGUUCUUUUUAUCUUCAUCAUGUAUGUUUUUUAUUGGAGAAGAACUUCCUUUCAUCAUAUACAAUCUUGGUGGGUCCCUCAAUCAAGAUGUUCAUUCCAACUCUGGCCAAGGAGUGGACACACUACUCAAGAAACAUGGCAUCUGAAUAGACACCAUGGCUUUUUGAUGCAAAUAGAUAAUUUAUUCAAUACGAAGGCUUCAUCGCCUCUCAUCUCUCUCAUCAAUGUCCUUUGCAGUCUCACUGAGAUAGAGUCAUUGGAUCUGUUCUGGUUCAGUGGUGGACAAAAUUAGCCUAUAUGCAGAUCGCGUCUUCCACAUUUGCAUGGGGAAGAGAAAAUUGUUAUCAGGCCUUUAUUAGCGCCACUGAAGAUUUUGCCUCUCAGAUUGAAGACUGGUUUUUAAAACUCACGGACACAGAACGAGAGACUCAAACUCCAUUCUAUUUUCCCCCUCCACACAUUCCAUCAGGACUUGUAUAUUUAAAGAAAGCUGUAAUGAGAAAACUUCCGGCAUGAUGGAGUGUAAGGGAUGUUGGGAAUCCUAUAGACUGGUCUUGCUGGUCAAGAAACAAGUGCCACAAAGGCUGUGGCUUGUCAGGGUCACACAGGACAAAGCAGGAUUACUCAACUCCAGCUCUCCUCCCUUUGGGGCCAUUUUGUUCAGUCACACCACACUACUUGUUAUGAAGGAGCUUCCU